AUGUAUUUAUUAACUGUCUACUCUGUGCCAGAACCCGCGUGGGGAGCGUCAGUGAGUGGGGAGGGCUCCUCUGUUUGCAGCCACGAUCAUUCUGGGCUUGCAGCACCGCUGCAGGAGGUGGGGAGCAGACACAGCCAGAGGAUCGACACCUGGGGAAUCGGCCAAUCACCCCAGGGCCUCUGCCCCUGCAUCCAACUGGCUCCCAGCUUUCAGGGACACUUCCCACCCGCUACCAACUGCACAGGGAGUGGCACCAGGGGCCCCUUCCCCAGCCUCCCCGUCACUGUGGACGUCUCCCGGGACAGGGGUGUGAUUGUGGGGCUGGGAUUUGAAGCCAGGUCCAGUCUGAGUUCACUUCCCCGGGCGCUGGUCUCCCCUGCUAAAGCCAAGUCCCCAACAACGGCAAGUGCGUAGUAAGUGUUAGCUCAGUCCGAAUGUGAAUUAGAGGAACAAGAGUUGUGGAUUAUAUGUGUGCAAAUAGGAAAUAUAUAUGGGCACACACACGCAAGAAUGUAAUGAGAGGACCCCAAGCUUAUAGAAAAAUGGAAUUAGGAGUAGGGGUUUGGGGUCAGGGUUGGGGUUCGUGCUGUGGCUAGCAGGUAACGCCUCCACCUGCAACACCAGUAUCCUACAUGGACUCCAGUUCGAGUCCUGUCUGUUCCACUUCCAUUACAGCUCCAUGCAAAUGUGCCUGGGAAAGCAGUGAAGAUGGCCCAAGUGCUUGGGCCCCUGCACCCACACGGGAGACUGGAAAGCAGCUCCUGGCUUGGCCUGGCCCAGCCUCAGCCCCAGCCAUUGUGGCCACCUGGGGAGUGAAGCAGCAGAAUGAGGGUCUGUCUCCUCUCUCAACAACAGGCAAGUCUUUAAAAGGUAUUAUUCCAGGGCAAAAGCUUCCAUAACAUAUGCAAAGUGUGUAUUAUGAAAAAACUAGAUUUCAGCAAUGUUUCCACCCAAAUAACUUUGUAUCUUUAAUUCCAUCCUUUUCUGCCAUCUUUGAAUCCUCCUCUCAUAGAUGUCAGGUAAGAGAAGGUACUACAUGCAUGCACACACACGUGGACAGAUACAACUACACACAUGCACACAUGUGCCAUCCUCAUCCUCUCCACCACCCUGAAAGGAAGGUACCAUUGUCAUACCCAUUUCACAGAUGCAAACCAAGGCCUAGAGGUGACUGAUGACUUACCCCAGAGUCCAGGAGGCUGGAGCCCGGUCCCACAUUUCCAGGGUCGAGGGUGGUGCCUGGCACAGAGAGAUGCUUGGUUCCCAGCGAUGGUUAUCGUGGAGGCUCCCAGAGACCCCUUGACAGAACCAGCCCACGGGAUUUGUCCACUUUGGUCUCCUGCAGGGCCGGGGCACAGGGCUGGGUUAUCUCUCGGUGGCCUUUCAACCUCUCCGAGAGCAGGGGUCAGGGCCGGGGCAGCUGAGCACUGGUGGGCUGGGCGGCAGGGCCUGUGUCAGCUGUGAGACAACCCAGGAGGACUGGCCCCAGGGGGGCCUCCGGCAGGGAGGCGUGGAGGGGCUCGGCCCUGCCAUCAGCAAUGCCCGCCUGCCUGGAGAACAGAGCAGGGGCGGGGGGGGGGCAGGGGGAAGGGGGCUGCAGCCAUCGCCGCCCCUCCCCAGACCCCUGCUCCGAAGCAUUGAGUUUUCAUACCAAGUUUGCCACUUUGAGUGGGAUGUGCGUCUGGGAGGAGAAACCAGCCAUAGAGUGUUGUCACACACUGUCACCCGGAGCUACUGACGCAUCCUCCUCCAGACUCACACCAUAAGGUUUCCUCCUUUUGCAAACACAGGCUCACACACUAUUUCUCUGCAAUGUGCAUUUUCCAUACAUUCACCCUGGACGUCUGUUCCAGUUGAAAUUCACGGGUCUGCUCACGCGCGUUCAAAUAUUGCAGAACAUUCCACGCUACAGAUGCGUCGCCAUGGCUUAGCCGCUCCCCUACAGCGGACAUGCAGGUUGUGUCUUGGGUCUCGGUGUUGCCAGUUGUGUGACAAGGUACAGACCGUGUGUGUCCGUGCUCUCUGGGUUCCUACCACGCCUGCACUUGUUCUGCUGGGAUGGAGCCGUGCAAGUGAGCUAAAUAAAGGCUCUGCAAUCUUGGAGUUGAGUGUAUUU
rnacentral:lncRNA from 1 species